AGAGGAAUAGCUUGGUCAAAUGGUGGUUCAAUACUCAGUUUUCCAAGGAAUCUCCAUACUGCUUUUCAAAUUGGCUGCCCCAAUUUGCAGUCCCACCAGCAAU
rnacentral:pre_miRNA from 1 species